GCCCGUACCGAAAAUGGACACACAUGGGUGAGGAGAGAAUCCUAAGGUGAGCGAGAGAACUAUAGCUAAGGAACUCUGCAAAAUGACUCCGUAACUUAGGGAGAAGGAGUGCUCAUAGAGAUAUGAGCCGCAGUGAAACGGCCCAAGCGACUGUUUACCAAAAACACAGCUCUCUGCUAAGCCGCAAGGCGAAGUAUAGGGGGUGACGCCUGCCCGGUGCUGGAAGGUUAAGGGGAGGGGUUAACGCAAGUGAAGCCCUGAACUGAAGCCCCAGUAAACGGCGGCCGUAACUAUAACGGUCCUAAGGUAGCGAAAUUCCUUGUCAGGUAAGUUCUGACCCGCACGAAAGGCGUAACGAUUUGGGCGCUGUCUCAGCUGUAGACUCGGUGAAGUCUUAGUACCUGUGAAGAUGCAGGUUACCCGCGACUAGACGGAAAGACCCCAUGGAGCUUCACUGCAGGUUGAUAUUGGGAUUUGAUGCAGCAUGUACAGGAUAGGUAGGAGGCAAAGAGAUGGAUACGCCAGUAUUCAAGGAGCCGCUGUUGGGAUACUACCCCUGUUGUAUUGGAUUUCUAACCGGACGACGUAGAGCCGUUGACGGGACAGUGUCAGUCGGGCAGUUUGACUGGGGCGGUCGCCUCCCAAAGAGUAACGGAGGCGCCCAAAGAUACCCUCAGCUUGGAUGGAAACCAAGCGCAGAGUGCAAAGGCAAAAGGGUGUUUGACUGCGAGACCCACAAGUCGAGCAGGGACGAAAGUCGGGCUUAGUGAUCCGGCGGUGCUGAAUGGAAAGGCCGUCGCUCAACGGAUAAAAGCUACCCUGGGGAUAACAGGCUGAUCUCCCCCAAGAGUUCACAUCGACGGGGAGGUUUGGCACCUCGAUGUCGGCUCAUCGCAUCCUGGAGCUGAAGUCGGUUCCAAGGGUUGGGCUGUUCGCCCAUUAAAGCGGUACGCGAGCUGGGUUCAGAACGUCGUGAGACAGUUCGGUCCCUAUCUGUCGUGGGCGCAGGAAAUUUGAGAAGAGCUGUCCUCAGUACGAGAGGACCGGGAUGGACGCAUCAAUGGUGGACCAGUUGUCACGCCAGUGGCAUAGCUGGGUAGCUAAAUGCGGAAGGGAUAAACGCUGAAGGCAUCUAAGUGUGAAACCCACUUCAAGAUGAGAUUUCCCAUUGCGCAAGCAAGUAAGACCCCUUAAAGACGAUAAGGUAGAUAGGUCAGGAGUGUAAGCAUGGUGACAUGUUAAGCGGACUGAUACUAAUAGGUCGAGGGCUU
rnacentral:rRNA from 1 species